rnacentral:rRNA from 1 species
UACGUAGGGAGCAAGCGUUGUCCGGAUUUACUGGGCGUAAAGGGCGCGUAGGUGGUCUAUUAAGUUAUAGGUGAAAGUUCGGGGCUCAACCCCGUGAUUGCCUGUGAUACUGGUAGACUUGAGUGCAGGAGAGGGGAGCAGAAUUCCCAGUGUAGCGGUGAAAUGCGUAGAUAUUGGGAGGAAUACCAGUGGCGAAGGCGGCUCUCUGGACUGUAACUGACACUGAGGCGCGAAAGCGUGGGGAGCGAAC